AAUAUUUGCCCUGGCCGGUGAACCCAGCAGAGGCUGUGCACGGAAGCCCAGAGCACGAUGUCUUGUUAGAAUGCUACCUCCUGGACCCAGCUGCCAGGCUCUGAGAAGCUCAAGUCACAUGGGGAGGCCACGUGUAGGUGACCUGGUCAACAGUCUCAGCCAAAGCCAACUCUCAAGUAGUCCCCUGUGGGUGCCAGACAUGUAGAUCAAGAAGCUUCUGGUUGAUUUCAACUGCCAGCUGCUUGCAUCACCCCCAGCUGAGGUCCCAGAUGUGGUGAAAAAGCAGCCACCCUCCCUGUGCUGGUUGGAAUUCCCUACUCAGAGAAUUCAUGUGCCUAAUAAAAUGGUUUUUGUUUAAGGCCA